rnacentral:rRNA from 1 species
UACGUAGGGGCCGAGCGUUGUCCGGAAUUAUUGGGCGUAAAGAGCUCGUAGGCGGUCUGUUGCGUCGGCUGUGAAAACCCGGGGCUCAACUCCGGGCCUGCAGCCGAUACGGGCAGACUAGAGUUCGGCAGGGGAGACUGGAAUUCCUGGUGUAGCGGUGAAAUGCGCAGAUAUCAGGAGGAACACCGGUGGCGAAGGCGGGUCUCUGGGCCGAUACUGACGCUGAGGAGCGAAAGCGUGGGGAGCGAACAGG